GACGCCGGCGGCGGGCCUGGCGUGGGGCUCCGGGUACCGGGCGCCGGUCCGGUCGCCGGUCUGGUCGCCGCGAGGCCUGGGCAGUCCCUGGGUUCGAAGCCCGCGGCUGAGAAGGCCGGUGGGGGCCGAGGGGGUGGGUUACGCGCUCGCCGCUGUCUGCGCCCUAAAAGCGCGAUUAUCCGCCUGACUCAUCCAGCCCUCGGUCCCUCCAGUACGCACGCGGGAGCCGGGCUCCGGUCCCGAGCGCCGGUGCGGGCGCUUGGCCUGGCCUCGCACGGCUCUUCGUGGGCUCUUCUGCCGGGUGGGGGCUGGGGGGUGCGGAGAGGAGGCGGGUGCCCAGCACCGUGCAACGAAGACAGGGGGCCCGAGAGAACCGGGGUGGUGGUGGUGGUGGAGGGGGGUGUUCCUCUCCUGGGAAGGACGUGAAGAGACCGGAGUGGGGAAAGGAGCAAAGGUUUUGACAUUUAAAGGAGCGAGGAAGGCUCAUGGUUUGCUUUGGCGUGGGGACGGACAGAGGGGCUGCGAGUGAGACACCUUUCAACCAGGGAAUCUCAAAGGGAAUCUCAAAGCACUUUACAAGCCACGCACUCUCCUUUCCGCUUUAUGGGUGAGCACACUGAGUCACAAAGAGGUGAAAUGGCGAGAUGAAGGUCAAACGGCAACUCGCUCGCCUGGCUCGGGCUCCGAGCGGUCCCCCUCCCUGCGGGCACUGAGCCGGGAGGUGGAGCGCUGCGGUGGGACCCCCGGCUCCAGCGGGGCACACCGAGCUGGCGGCUGCCGCCUCCGUCCGCCGGGAAGAGAAGAGGAAACGGCGAUCGUUAUUUCGGGCUUACAACUCUGCCUCCCCACCCCGAGUCCCCCCUUAGUUUGUGAUCAGUAGUUUUCCAGCCGGGAAAUGUUUUCGCCCUCAUCUUCUCGGCAAAGAGUGCCUUUUUUUUUUUUUUUUUUUUAACGUGAGUGUGGUGUUCGGUAUCGCUUGCUGAACUUCCGCUUGCGAGGUGUUUAGCUUGGAUUCAGGCGCGCCGAGGGCUCCACCCGCCCUUUCCACCGACAGCCCCCCAUUGGGAAACGCUGCCGCCCUGGCCGCCUGGUGUAGGCCCAGGAAACAAAAGGGAGGAGGGGGGCUUGGAAACGCGUGGAAGCCCCAUCCCUGGGCAGAGUGUGCACCCACCUCCAUUGAGCUCUAGCUGCCGGCUACUGUCUUUUGGAGGAAGAAAGCCAGUCCUCCUUUGUGGCAGGCAACUAUCUGGUGAGUCCUCUGGUUGCAUCAUAAAGGGAAAUCGCUAGAUUCACCUCGGAUUUCUAAAAGAGAGACUUUGAAGCGACUGACAGUGAAGGAUAGGUUUUCUUUUCCCUUAUAACAUUAAUAAUAUAGAAAUAGAAAACCAAGUCCCUGAAAAAGAAAAAGAAAAAAGAAGGAAGCUAGCUUUCAAUACGGUUGCUAUGACUGGACAUCAACUGCUUCUUAGCUUCCUGGCAGCCAAGACGAAAAGGGAACAGGCUGUGUUCCGUAGCGCUCAUCCACACAGAGGAAGAAGCCCUUUGCCAUUCUGGGUCCUCAAGCCUCAAGUUCACUUAUUACCUGAAAGCCCACGUAGGGACAUCGAUAGACAUGAUCAUUAACGUGUUGGGCGACAGUUUUCCCACAAAUGCCAAUUUUUGUCAUUUCUUGUCAAGACCUUUAAUUAAGGUCCAGGGCUGACCAUGAAAGCAGACAUCAGUGAGGGCUUGGCUAACCUGGCUCAACAGAGGACUGCGACACAGAGCAGAAGGGAAGAAAGGCUGGUGAGGGCUACAGGUGAAGUCUAGCAGGAGCUCAGAGGACCGUGGGGUCACAGAAGUCCCCCCUUAUCUAUGGGGAUACCUUCCGAGACCCCCCGUGGCUGCCUGAAAACACGGAUAGUACCAAGCCCUAACCAACUUCUUCAACUCUUCUGGGAAUACGACGGCAGCUUCUUCAUCGCCAGACACAGCCUCUCCAGUGAUUUUUGUUUCUUUCAGUCCAAACCUACUCCCGAGUCUGUA